rnacentral:rRNA from 1 species
GACGAACGCUGGCGGCGUGCUUAACACAUGCAAGUGGUGCGACGAACCAGGGCUUGCCCUGGGGCAAAGCCGCGAACGGGUGAGUAACACGUGGGUAACCUGCCCCGAAGACCGGGACAACCCGAGGAAACUCGGGCUAAUACCGGAUGUGGUCACUCUUCAUAAGGAGAGUGAGCAAAGGAAGCUCCGGCCCCCGCUUCGGGCUGGGCCCGCGGCCCAUUAGCUUGUUGGUGAGGUAACGGCUCACCAAGGCUUCGAUGGGUAGCUGGUCUGAGAGGACGAUCAGCCACACUGGGACUGAGACACGGCCCAGACUCCUACGGGAGGCAGCAGUGGGGAAUCUUGCGCAAUGGGCGACAGCCUGACGCAGCAACGCCGCGUGAGGGAAGAAGGCUUUCGGGUCGUAAACCUCUUUCAGGAGGGACGAAGCUUCGGGAGUGAAUAGCUUUCCGGAGUGACGGUACUUCCACAAGAAGCCCCGGCUAACUACGUGCCAGCCGCCGCCGUAA